rnacentral:piRNA from 1 species
AUUGGUGUAUGCAUGGUUUUGUGUG